UCCGCGCGACUAACGAGGUUGGGGACCACUGGUCUAGAUGCUAAAAUGAAGGGGUCCCAGUCAGACCAGUACAGGGUCCCAGUCAGACCAGUGCUCUGAACAGGAAGGAGAUGGCGGCUCCGGCAGCCAAUCCCAGAGCCAGGAAGAACGCCAUGAUGGCUCCAGCGGUUUCUGCUUCGUGAGGAAGGACGUUCCUGCGGAACGACAGAAUUAAAUACAGUCUGUUGUCAUGGAAACGGAG